UUGCAACCGAUUGGCAUUAAAAUAAAUCAAUUUAAUUUUUUUUGCAAAAUUUCUCAAAAAAAACGUAAGGGGUAAGCCUUAUGAAAUUUUCAAGUGGAAAAUUUUUUUGAAAAUUUUUUCUGAUUUUUUAUUCUUUUUUUAAUUUAAAGCAUUAUUUGAGUGAAAACAAACUUAUUGCAACAAAUUCGCAAUAAAAUAUAUCACAUUUAAAAAUUUUGCUGAAUUGCAGAAAAAUGAGGAAAAUUUUACAUUUUCUCAAACAGGGUAAGGAACUUGGUUUCUCGAAUAACUUCUGGCACAUACAUCUGAGGGCAUGGCCGUCCGAGAAGAAAAUGUAGCCAUUGUUGCCAUAUAUCGACCACAGGUUAAAGAUUGGCGAUCCGUUGGAUACCGACCGAGUUAUAGGCAAAAUUUGGUGCAAAAAUGAGGAAAAUUUUACAUUUUCUCAAACAAGGUAAGGAACUUGGUUUCUCGAAUAACUUCUGGCACAUACAUCUGAGGGCAUGGCCGUCCGAGAAGAAAAUGUAGCCAUUGUUGCCAUCUAUCGACCACAGGUUAAAGAUUGGCGAUCCGUUGGAUACCGACCGAGUUAUAGACAAAACUUGGUGCAAAAAUGAGCCUUAGUAAAAUUUUAUUUUUUUGAUUUUUUUGAUUUUUUUAUUAUUUUUCACUCUUUUUUGUAUUUAAAGCAUUUCUUGAGUGAUAAGAAACACAUUGCAACCGAUUGGCAUUAAAAUAAAUCAAUUUAUUUUUUUUUGCAAAAUUUCUCAAAAAAAACGUAAGGGGUAAGCCUUAUAAAAUUUUCGAGUAAAAAUUUUUUUGAAAUUUUUUUCUGAUUUUUUAUUCUUUUUUUAAUUUAAAGCAUUAUUUGAGUGAAAAGGAACAUAUUGCAACAAAUUCGCAAUAAAAUAUAUCACAUUUAAAAAUUUUGCUGAAUUGCAGAAAAAUGAGGAAAAUUUUACAUUUUCUCAAACAGGGUAAGGAACUUGGUUUCUCGAAUAACUUCUGGCACAUACAUCUGAGGGCAUGGCCGUCCGAGAAGAAAAUGUAGCCAUUGUUGCCAUCUAUCGACCACAGGUUAAAGAUUGGCGAUCCGUUGGAUACCGACCGAGUUGUAGGCAAAAUUUGGUGCAAAAAUGAGGAAAAUUUUACAUUUUCUCAAACAGGGUAAGGAACUUGGUUUGUCGAAUAACUUCUGACACAUACAUCUGAGGGCAUGGCCGUCCGAGAAGAAAAUGUAGCCAUUGUUGCCAUCUAUCGACCACAGGUUAAAGAUUGGCGAUCCGUUGGAUACCGACCGAGUUAUAGACAAAACUUGGUGCAAAAAUGAGCCUUAGUAAAAUUUUAUUUUUUUGAUUUUUUUGAUUUUUUGAUUAUUUUUCACUCUUUUUUUUAUUUAAAGCAUUUCUUGAGUGAAAAGAAACACAUUGCAACCGAUUGGCAUUAAAAUAAAUCAAUUUAAUUUUUUUUGCAAAAUUUCUCAAAAAAACGUAAGGGGUAAGCCUUAUGAAAUUUUCGAGUGGAAAAUUUUUUUGAAAUUUUUUUCUGAUUUUUUAUUCUUUUUUUAAUUUAAAGCAUUAUUUGAGUGAAAAGGAACUUAUUGCAACAAAUUCGCAAUAAAAUAUAUCACAUUUAAAAAUUUUGCUGAAUUGCAGAAAAAUGAGGAAAAUUUUACAUUUUCUCAAACAGGGUAAGGAACUUGGUUUCUCGAAUAACUUCUGGCACAUACAUCUGAGGGCAUGGCCGUCCGAGAAGAAAAUGUAGCCAUUGUUGCCAUCUAUCGACCACAGGUUAAAGAUUGGCGAUCCGUUGGAUACCGACCGAGUUAUAGGCAAAACUUGGUGCAAAAAUGAGCCUUAGUAAAAUUUUAUUUUUUUGAUUUUUUUGAUUUUUUGAUUAUUUUUCACUCUUUUUUUUUAUUUAAAGCAUUUCUUGAGUGAAAAGAAACACAUUGCAACCGAUUGGCAUUAAAAUAAAUCAAUUUAUUUUUUUUUGCAAAAUUUCUCAAAAAAAACGUAAGGGGUAAGCCUUAUAAAAUUUUCGAGUAAAAAUUUUUUUGAAAUUUUUUUCUGAUUUUUUAUUCUUUUUUUAAUUUAAAGCAUUAUUUGAGUGAAAAGGAACUUAUUGCAACAAAUUCGCAAUAAAAUAUAUCACAUUUAAAAAUUUUGCUGAAUUGCAGAAAAAUGAGGAAAAUUUUACAUUUUCUCAAACAGGGUAAGGAACUUGGUUUCUCGAAUAACUUCUGGCACAUACAUCUGAGGGCAUGGCCGUCCGAGAAGAAAAUGUAACCAUUGUUGCCAUCUAUCGACCACAGGUUAAAGAUUGGCGAUCCGUUGGAUACCGACCGAGUUGUAGGCAAAAUUUGGUGCAAAAAUGAGGAAAAUUUUACAUUUUCUCAAACAGGGUAAGGAACUUGGUUUCUCGAAUAACUUCUGGCACAUACAUCUGAGGGCAUGGCCGUCCGAGAAGAAAAUGUAGCCAUUGUUGCCAUCUAUCGACCAAACGUUAAAGAUUGGCGAUCCGUUGGAUACCGACCGAGUUGUAGGCAAAAUUUGGUGCAAAAAUGUGGAAAAUUUUACAUUUUCUCAAACAGGGUAAGGAACUUGGUUUCUCGCAUAACUUCUGGCACAUACAUCUGAGGGCAUGGCCGUCCGAGAAGAAAAUGUAGCCAUUGUUGCCAUCUAUCGACCAAACGUUAAAAAUUGGUGAUCCGUUGGAUACCGACCGAGUUGUAGGCAAAACUUGGUGCAAAAAUGAGGAAAAUUUUACAUUUUCUCAAACAGGGUAAGGAACUUGGUUUCUCGAAUAACUUCUGGCACAUACAUCUGAGGGCAUGGCCGUCCGAGAAGAAAAUGUAGCCAUUGUUGCCAUCUAUCGACCACAGGUUAAAGAUUGGCGAUCCGUUGGAUACCGACCGAGUUAUAGACAAAACUUGGUGCAAAAAUGAGCCUUAGCAAAUUUUUAUUUCUUUGAUUUUUUUUGAUUUUUUGAUUAUCUUUCACUCUUUUUUGUAUUUAAAGCAUUUCUUGAGUGAAAAGAAACACAUUGCAACCGAUUGGCAUUAAAAUAAAUCAAUUUAAUUUUUUUUGCAAAAUUUCUCAAAAAAAACGUAAGGGGUAAGCCUUAUGAAAUUUUCGAGUGGAAAAUUUUUUUGAAAAUUUUUUCUGAUUUUUUAUUCUUUUUUUAAUUUAAAGCAUUAUU